rnacentral:rRNA from 1 species
UACGUAGGGUGCAAGCGUUGUCCGGAAUUAUUGGGCGUAAAGAGCUCGUAGGCGGUUUGUCGCGUCGAAUGUGAAAACCCGGGGCUCAACCCCGGGCCUGCAUUCGAUACGGGCAGACUAGAGUUCGGUAGGGGAGUCUGGAAUUCCUGGUGUAGCGGUGAAAUGCGCAGGUAUCAGGAGGAACACCGGUGGCGAAGGCGGGACUCUGGGCCGAUACUGACGCUGAGGAGCGAAAGCGUGGGGAGCAAACAGG